rnacentral:rRNA from 1 species
AAAUUGAAGAGUUUGAUCAUGGCUCAGAUUGAACGCUGGCGGCAGGCCUAACACAUGCAAGUCGAACGGUAGCACAGAGAGCUUGCUCUCGGGUGACGAGUGGCGGACGGGUGAGUAAUGUCUGGGAAACUGCCUGAUGGAGGGGGAUAACUACUGGAAACGGUGGCUAAUACCGCAUAACGUCGCAAGACCAAAGAGGGGGACCUUCGGGCCUCUUGCCAUCAGAUGUGCCCAGAUGGGAUUAGCUAGUUGGUGAGGUAACGGCUCACCAAGGCGACGAUCCCUAGCUGGUCUGAGAGGAUGACCAGCCACACUGGAACUGAGACACGGUCCAGACUCCUACGGGAGGCAGCAGUGGGGAAUAUUGCACAAUGGGCGCAAGCCUGAUGCAGCCAUGCCGCGUGUAUGAAGAAGGCCUUCGGGUUGUAAAGUACUUUCAGCGGGGAGGAAGGUGUUGUGGUUAAUAACCGCAGCAAUUGACGUUACCCGCAGAAGAAGCACCGGCUAACUCCGUGCCAGCAGCCGCGGUAAUACGGAGGGUGCAAGCGUUAAUCGGAAUUACUGGGCGUAAAGCGCACGCAGGCGGUCUGUCAAGUCGGAUGUGAAAUCCCCGGGCUCAACCUGGGAACUGCAUUCGAAACUGGCAGGCUUGAGUC